UAGGGAAUCUUCCGCAAUGGACGCAAGUCUGACGGAGCAACGCCGCGUGAGUGAAGAAGGAUUUCGGUUCGUAAAACUCUGUUGUUAGAGAAGAACAGCGCAUAGAGUAACUGUUAUGCGUGUGACGGUAUCUAACCAGAAAGCCACGGCUAACUACGUGCCAGCAGCCGCGGUAAUACGUAGGUGGCAAGCGUUGUCCGGAUUUAUUGGGCGUAAAGCGAGCGCAGGCGGUUAGAAAAGUCUGAAGUGAAAGGCAGUGGCUCAACCAUUGUAGGCUUUGGAAACUGGUUGACUUGAGUGCAGAAGAGGAGAGUGGAAUUCCAUGUGUAGCGGUGAAAUGCGUAGAUAUAUGGAGGAACACCAGUGGCGAAGGCGACUCUCUGGUCUGUAACUGACGCUGAGGCUCGAAAGCGUGGGUAGCAAACAGG
rnacentral:rRNA from 1 species